ensembl:lncRNA
GUUUAGCCCCACCCAACCAAGACUUCAGAGAUUGGCCCCACCCCACAGACCACAGUCACCAGUAGAGAGAGGAAGGCCAAGAGGAAGAGCUUCCCAAGAAGAAGCCCUCAGGGGAGCUAUUCACCUCCCUGAGGCAGGAAGGAGGCUGGGAGAUGGGGAGAAAGGGAAGCAAGUAGUCCCCUUCAAGGGUUUAGGGGGCCAGGGUCCAACAUGGGUCCCAUAUACGCAAAAGCCUCCUAAAGAUGCUUUUUUCAGAAGCUGCCUCAGGGCUGCUGAUCAGAUAGGGAAGGAACCACCAUGAGAAGCCAGCUGCUGAGGAGAAAACCCUUUUGCUCAGUCUUCAAGGGAAGAAAGCUCUGCCACCAUGAGUCCCCAGUUGCGGGCGGGCCUAGGUUUUUUUCUCAUGAAGGGAGUUGAUGAAAAGGCAUGGGGAACUGUGAAAUGAGGGUUCAGCAAAAGCUUCAAACUGACCUAUAUAAAUCUAUUAAAAUAUAACAGAACCAAAGCCUGCUCACACAAGAAGAGCAUAUCCAGGAGGCCCUGCUGGGAUGUGGGGACAUUGUAGGCGCAGCACCAGGCCCAGGAGCGCACAGUUUGGACUUCUCUCACGGAACUAUUAAAUGUUGCACAAAAUACAUAUCAACAUACUCUUGUGGCUUUGAUCCAAAUGGAAGUAAAAGAAACAGGAGACUAGAGUGUGAGCUCUGAAACUUCUGGAAGCGUCCUAUUGUAACAAGGCACUUGGGAGCAAACUCUGGCCCACAGAUCAGUUACACAGCAAAUGAGUUACCUACCAAUGGUCAGGAGCAGAGGUGCGGUGAUCCUCUCACGCGGGACCACCGUGCGCCGCCGCCACCGCUUCUCCCCAGCCUCACUUAUGUUCCUACCCAAACGGCAGACAUGUCUGAAGAGAGCAAUGUUCCCAGAGGCUGCGGCUGUCCUCUGGUCAAGCAUCCCUUGAGUGAAAUGAGUGAUACAGACAGUAAAAGCGAUGCCACUUCUCAGAAUGAAAUCAAGCUGAUAUCUGGCAAAUCCUCUUCAAAACCUCCAAAACCUCCAAAACCUCAGCUACUAGGAGGAGGAAACUGCCUUCCCAACAGCAGCUAUGUCAAAACAAGGAAGGUGAUGUGAGACCACAGGGAAGUCCCCAUGACUUUCCACGUACCGGUCUCUCCAUAUGGAGCAGUUUCACCAAGAAGCAAAUAUAGCAAACUGAAAGAAAGCGAACCGAAGGCGAAAGGAGUUUUAUUUACCAGCCAUGAAUUAAGUGAAGACAGGGAAGGAUCAGAAGAAGGAAGAAAUAGCAAUCAAGUUAAUUUUGCCACUUAUUCCCACCCAGCCACCCAGGGUGCAAUCUGAUGCUGAGAUUGCAAGUCGAAUGAGGGUUUGCAGUUGUUUCCCCAAAUGGUCACAGGCCCAUAUUGAUGGACAGACGGCCCAUCCGACAAGAAGAGCUGCUUGCUUCUUAGACGGUUGAAUGGAUGCCUGAUGACAGGUGCUGAAUCAGCUCCUACUCCUUCAGCCAGAGACAAGGGGCUGAGAUCCCAGGCUCUUUGCCUUAGAACUUCCAUCACUCCAUAUCCACGAAGCCUAGCUUCCUGUCCCGAAGUCUGAGACACUCUCACACCAAAGAAUUUUACCCUUCCUGCCGUAGACGGGGGUGGGGAUUGGGGUGUGGGGAAACUUGAUCUUACACUUAGAGCUCUUCCUAAUUGGAAACAGAAAGGGGCCUUCAAUAUGAAGUAGGAUCCCUUUGUUUACUGAUUAGGAAAUAAAUUAACAAACUGAAGAAUAUUGAGUAUGAAUGCCUACCCACCCCACUACUUUACUCUAGCAAAUCCAACUAUUUCACCCUCCUGGUUUAGAUCUUUUUUUUUAACGUAAGAUACUACUGGUGUCCAUGAUGCUUCUAUUCGGGCAUGAGGGCAAACAGGAUAAACAGAAGAGUUUCCUGUAACAAAACGCCUAGAAAAUGCUGGGAACAAUUUAGAAAACUUAACUUUAAUGCAUAGUUGAGCUUGCAAGAAGGUAUGGGAAACUUCCCUGGGGGCUAGAAGGUCAAAGGAACAGAAAUCCAGAGUGUUGACCAAUAGCAGCCGCCACACAUUGCUGCCUAAGAAGGGGAGAGUGUGGUUGGAAGGGUUAUGCUUUAGGAAGCCUGACCUUCAGUGCCCACACAGAGGGAGAGAAGACAGAACCUCUGGCUUUGCCAGGGGGUGCUGGGAACCAGCACUCCUCACACAGGCACAUCAAACUGGGAUUCUUUAAAAGCAAUACUUACUCUUAGAUAAAGGGGAAAUUUAGAAACAUUCACAUGGGAAGAUGAUCCCCAGAGAAUUCUUUAACUAAGGUCUAGGACUCAGAGGCUUUAGAGUUUAAAUACACACUCACUCUCCUCACACUUGCAGAACUCAAAACAUUGACACUGAGCCAAUGCUAUCCCUAGGUUACCUGGCAGAAGCAAAUGAAAUAUCUCUGUACAGGACUCACCCAUAGGCCAGGGCUCCCAAGGAUCCCACAGAUAAAACUCUGUCAAAGAUGAGCUCAUUUCAGUCCAGGCGGUAACAGACUGAAAGAAACAAUUUACCCCCUGGCUUACAUAUUCCCACAUUUUUCCCAACUACAAGAUACCCCUGUUGUGUGAUACAAACUGCUCCUGUUUGCAGCAGAAUUUGGCCCUAAGAAUUGUGUGCCCUUCCUCCUUGAGAGCAACCACUAAAUCAUUGCUGAUUCCCAUCCAUCGUUUUAUACUAUACUGAGUGAUUCCAUAAAGAGCAUACACAUUUGUUUGCAAUCUCGAACUUACAAGAGAUGACAGUGAUGCUCAGUAAAAGGCCUGCUUUUGCUGGGAGCUUGUCUCCAAAUGAAGAGCACACUCCACAGUCUCAACAGAGGCUGAGUGCUCCCCAUGACUCUCUGCAUAAGGGCAAUGAACCCUCCUAGCCUCAGGGUCAUCAGAGAGCCACCAGCAUCUCAAGGGCAGGGCCCAUGUCUGAUUCAAUACCCUUGGAUCUUGAGUACUCAGGAAAGACACUGGCAUACAGCCAGGUGGAGACCUAGAAAUGGGCAUCACACCAAUGGCAGUGCCUCCUCACAUGGCUCAUGCAUCCCCACCCCUCAGCUUAUGUUUCCUCCCCACACUUGUCAGCUAAACCAGCUGCUCCUCUCCUGCAGCUGUGCCCCACCCUGCCCCACCGCAGUCUCCACCAAGGUUUCCGCCAUGGCUGAGCUGAUGAUGCUCUGUGCCUGGAGAGCUGGGCACCAGAGCAGAGAGAGCCUCUAGAGGGCAGAGACCGGCAGAAACUGAAACACAGCCAGGCGGUAGUGCCCAGGGUUCAAGGCCUCUUCCUACUCCAAACGCUGAUGGCAGAGUGACUGCCCGCUGCUGCCCCCCAUCUGGGAGGGCCCCACAGACCCUGUCUUUUCUGCUAUCAUCAUACCUUGUCCAUCGCAGUGUCCUUCUGAGGUGAUGUUCCUCCUGCUGUUGGCCUCUUGAGCCCAAACAGCACACGGUGCGUGGCUUUUGAAACAGGUUUAGUGAUGGGAAGGUCAGGAAGAGGAGGGAGGGAGUGAGGAGGUCCAGGGGAAGGAGCACCGAGUUCUGAAUUAAACAAGCGUUAGCUCUAAGCUGGCAUGAGGUUUUCUGAAACACAAAUGUGACUGCGUAAGUCCUCUGUGUUGUAAACUCCUCUGGCGCACUCUAAGGGAAAAUGCCCCAUUUCUGUGUGUCACCACAAAUUAUCCCACUUCCUGCCUUUGACAUCCUUGAGUUCCUCCUGAAGAGCUGGGCUCCUUCUUGACCGCCGAGUAUGUGCUGGUCCUCCUGGCCUUUGCACUGCGCUCCCCUCACCCACCUCCUGCCCAGUCUCCCUGUCAUGCAACAAACGCUUCUUACCUGAGUCAUGAGUGAUCCAAGAAGUGUUAGGUUCUUAGUUGAAAACGUUUCAGACCGAAAUCAGUUUUUGUUACUAUGGUCAGCAUCUCCUUUGAUGGCCCUUGUCCUUUGGGGUCCCAAAGAGAAAAGACACAAACCAAUCAGACUGGUGAGCCCUUGGGAGACUGCCCGCCACUCCUAACUAGGGCAUCACUGAAGAAAGACGUGUCUCAAAGGAGUGUCUUUGACCAAAAUUCACCCAACUCACAGGAACCCCUCUCCCCUGCCAAGCAGUUCUCACCACCUGACCCCAUUCCUGUCUUGUUUCAACUCCCAUAGCCCCCACCAGCUUCAAUGAUGCUGGCAAGGAGGGUUCUCUCUGCAGAGAUGGACUACAACCCUUGUCCACAGUGUCAGAGGACCCUGUUCCCAGAGUUUCCCACCCUGUCUCCUGCUUGUCACUCAUCUUGUGACAAAACCUCUGCCUGGAAGCAUUCCGGGACCCUGACUGGAUGGGUCAUGGUGGCCCCUGGGGUCUUGGUCCCACAUCAAGUAUAAGCGGGACAGGUGCAAAAUCCCUGAAUUGGAAUGACCCUCUGUCCUCAGCAGAGGAGACAGGAAAAGCGCUCUCACCCUGGGGAGUGCUGGCCACACAGAAGGGCUGUGUCAUGCAGAGAAGGCACAGGAGCAGAGGGCUGCUGCAACAGACCCCCACUCACUGCAUGGCAUGACUGUCUCCCAAGAUUGUGAACUUCUCUGGACAGGGACCAUGUCUUAUUCACCUUUGUUCUGCUGUGUCCAGCACGUGCAGGCGUUCAAUGAAUGAGAGCAAUGAUUGGCACUUGGAAGGGCAGUUAGGAACCAGGGAGGGUGGGACAUGAUAAGGAAGGAUUCUCUAAUCCGAACCUGCACUGCCCACCAGGACUGGUUGGUCUCUGGAUGGAAGAAGCAAUGGGGGUUUAGGUGGUAAACAAGCACCUGCUCCACAGCCUGAUCCCACAGCCCAGCAUGAAGACAGGCUAAGAGCCAGAACACAGAGAGCUGGGCUUCUGACAGUCACCCCCAGAGACUGCCUGCCAUUCCUGUCCUCUUACCAGAUGCUCUGCCUGUAGGUCAAGGCCUAUUUCAAACAUUUUAGCUUGGAAGGGUCCGGGUUUUUUUUAAUGCAAUGUCAUGAAAUUUAGCACAUGGCCUUUGUGGCAUCUGUUUCACUGCCCUAAUUUUUUUUUUUUCCUUUUCCUGUUUGUUUCAGACAACUGAGGUUGCUAGGUAAAAGAAUCUGCAUGCAAAUGAGGUGUUGCUAAAUAUUCUCAGCCAUGAUACAAAUCAGGGAUCCUAAGCUUUUUUUUAAUAUUAAAAUAGUGGUGUAGAAAAGUUCAAACAGAUGUGAACUGUGGCCAUCACAGAGACAAGGGAUGAGGCGGUCUGUAAACAGUACGAAGGGGCAGGUGCUCCCAGAAGCAGCCAGGCAGUCAUAGAGUGCAGCCUGGAGGCUCUGCACUGGACCAGCAAGAUGUAUAGGAGACAUCAAGAGGGCACAAGAGGGAUGGUAAAAGCAUCACGUGGUGCUUUAUGGCAUUGAACAGCAACAUUGCAAAAAAAAAAAAAAGACAGUUUCUCCUUUUUCUAUAUUGGAGGCAGAUAUAAUUUUUUUGUCAGAGUUCUGAUAAAGCUUUUAUUACUAAUUUAAAAGAAGAUAAAUAUAGUAAGAAAAAAGUCAAGGAAAACAGUUUUUAAUCUAUCAAAAUUUUAAACUGUGUACCAUUCACCCCAGAAAUCCCACUUUGGGGCAUCCAUUCGAGGGAAACAUUCAUGGUAGAUAAAGCAGCUUACACCAUUUUUAAAGCAUUUUAUGGCAAAAAUGUCUAUAUCAGUAAGGGAACAAUGAACUAGGAUAGGACACAGCCAAACUGUUGGAAUACUAGGCAGCAAUGAAAAAGCGAAAGCUUCUGCUGUUCAGACCCUAGGCUUCUAUCAAGCACAGAUCUGUUAUCACAGGGAGAGCAGAGCACAAAUGCAAGUCAGCGUUUGCCUGCCAUGAGGAAAAACAAACAGUCCCCAAAUCCACACACACAGAGCCUGGCUAAAACUAAGGAUGGCCAGGGAAACAGAAAUUCUCUUUAUCACUCCCCCAUGAGCCUGGCACCAAGUAACAAGCAACAUCAGUCUACCGCUGAUGGGGAAGCAACGCAUACAGACACAGCCUCUCUGUGGCAUGGAUAUGACGGGGCUUCUCAAAGCCGAUGGUACAGCAGGAACACUGAGAAAGACCUUCUGGUGCCCCAGAUACCACUCUCAGGACAAGUUAACAGCAGACCCACUGCUAAAGGAAUCUGAAGUCUGUGAUGCACUGGGGUAAUGAUAUCACCAAAGAAAUAAAAACCUACCUCAUCUCAUAAUCCAUACUAACAAGCUGACAGAAUAGGCAUGCUCAUUUCUGGGCACAGAUACUGUUUAUUAAUUUAUUCCUCUAAAAUGAUGUUUAGCAUUACAUUUAAAGCAUCAAUACACAUUUUUAAAGGCAGAUAAAACUACUAUCAAAAGGUAGUCAUCAGAAAUGUACUCAGAGAUUGCCCAGAUCUUGGGACUUCUCGGAGAAUUAACAUAACUACAAUUAAUAUGCUACAUGAUCCAGUGGAAAAGGUGGAAACCUGCAAGAACAGAUGGGGGGAUUUCAGCAGAGAUAUGAAACUAUAAAAUAGUCAAAUGGAUGGAAAUGCUAGAAAUAAGAGACACCAUGUCAGAAAUGAAGAAGUGCUUUGACAGGCUCAGAUCAAACGAUGCAUAGCUGAUAAAAGCAUUAUUGUACUCAACAGGUCAGUAAGAAUAAGCUGAAACACAAAGAAAAAUGAGAAUGGGGAAAAAAGAUAAUACCCAGAAAAGAAUAGUCAAAAGUUGUGGGACAAUAUCAGUCUAGCAUAAGUGAAGCUGCAAGAGGAAAAGAACAUUAGAAUUAUCUGAACUAACGGUCAACAUUUUUCUAAAGUCAAUGGCAGCAAACCAUACACCCAGGAAAUCCAGACAAUUCAGAACACAGCUGAGCAGUGUCUUUAGAGUAGAAAGGGAAAAAAAAAAUCCUCUGUUAACACAUCAUUUAAUGUACAGGCCUCUAUCUCAAAAAACUUCUAUAACUGUGCCUUGACUUCUAACAUGCAGAACAGUUCUGAGUCAGAGCCUUUCUGAGAUGCUCUUCCCAUCUUAUAAUCCUCAAUUUGGCUCAAACAAAAUUUGCAUUUCUUUUUAAAAAAAAUGUGUGAGGUACAUCAAAAAGUUAAACACAGAAUUAUCAUCUGACCAGAAACUUCUCUCUUAGAUAUAUACCCAACAGAAUGGAAAGCAGGUAUUCACAGAAAUAUCUGUAAAAGAAUGUUCAUGGCAGACACACUAUUCAUAAUAGCCAAAAAGUGGAAACAACCCAAAUGUCUAUCAAUGGAUGAAUGAAAAAAUCAAAUGCAGUAUAUCCACAAAAUAGAAUAUUAUCCAGCCAUAGAAGGAAUGAAGUAUGAUAGAUGUUUCAGUGUGAAUGAACCUCAGAAAAAUUAUGCUAAAUGAAAGAAAUCGGAAAUGCCAUGUGGGGACUUCUCGGGCAGUCCAAUAGCUAGGCCUCCACGCUCCUAAUGUUGGGGGUCAGGGUUCAAUCCCUGGUCACAAAGGUAGAUGGCAACGUGCCGCGGUGAAGGCUGGAGACCCAGUGUGAUGCAACUAAGAUGCAAUGCAGUCAAAUAAACGAUUUAAAAAACGCCAUGUGUUGUUAUGACUCCAUUUACACGAAAUAUCCAGAAUAGGUAAAUUCAUAGAGAUAGAAAGCAGAUUACUGGUUCCUAGGGGCUGGAGGGGAGAAUAGGAUGUGAUUGCCUGGGAACGAUGAAAAUGUUUUGAAACUAGACAGGUGGCUGUAUACACUGUGAGCAUAGUAAAUGCCACUGAAUUGUACUUUAAAACUGUAAAUUUUAUGUGAACGUCAUCCCAAUUUUUUAAAAGACACGGAUAAUCACAGACAAAUUAUAAUCCCUUGCUUUAAAAUAACUGUGUACAGGUAAUUAAGCUUUAUGGUAUGGAAUAUUGUGAAAAGACAUAGCUCUGCCAUGCACAGAUACAUUAUCCGCAGAAGUAGCUUCACAAACAUGACAAUAAAAUUCACUAAAUUUUUUUUUUAAAG